UUUGGGUAACUUAAACGUCUAUCGCUACCUUCAGUUUUUUUCUAUUAUUAUUUAACUAGGAGUUGGCAGGGCCAGGAGAGAGAUCAUUGGAUAUGCCAAAACCUGCAUCUACCUCGAUCCUGCUAACGUUGUUCACAAGACCCCAAAUUCUCCCACCGAAAUAGAAAACACGCCUAACCACUUCCACUGUCUCCCCCCCCCCUCGAAAAUAUCCCAGCCCCUCCAACACAUUCCCACGCAACUGCCCCCCACCCCAACUCCGAUUCUGGCACCUGGAUCCUACUCAGUUUUGGCCCCACACCCUCCAAAUGGUAACGCUAAAGAACAAGUGUAGACGCUCCUCUUACACAAAAAACAAACAAAAAACCCACCUGGAUCCCAAUGCAUCCCACAGCGCCAGCGGCAUAAAUACGCAGAUGUGGGCCUAGGACCGGGCACUGUCAGUGUUUGGUCCUAGUCCCCGCAAAUGCGACCGCCCAAAGAGCAAGCAAGCUAUAGCGGUUCCUGCUGUACCUUGACUAUCCAGCCAAGGAUGAACCGCACCUCAGAUCUGGCAUGUUUUUUUGGCCACAGACCCACAAACGCUACUAUCAGAACACAGAAUAAGCCAUGAUUCUACCUGUCUCCCCCGAGUACCCCCCUGGCCCCAGCCCAUCCUCCUAACAGAGAGAUGCAAACACUAAUUUGACACCUGUAUCUUGCUGGAUCCAGCUGAUAUUUGGCUGCAUACAUCACACCCAUUUUCCCGUCUAAACGUAGUUCAGGCAGACUGGCAUUUUGCAGCUUGGGGCCAAAAACGGUAAGGAUUCAGUCUCGGGGGCGGAAUUGACCUGCUAUUACCGCCCUCUUGUUCCAGGAUGCAUGGCGGGUGGUGUUUUGCUCUUUGUUUAGGCAUUAUAAACUGGGGGUCAAAGCCAAAAUUGGCACGAUCCAGCGUUUAACAGCACUGUUGGAGGAGUGCAUCGGGGCCGGGUGUUUUGGGGAGCAGCAGGAGCGGCUCGAUUCGGUCUCUAUUAUGAUGGUACAAUUUGAGGUCUUGGGUACAAAGAAUUGGCAGGAUCCAUGUUUUACCCAGCCGCCUUCGGGGCGCUCUCCUCUAGUGAGGUUUGAAGGUGGGGGACCCGGUGAAACCGACAGUGUCCGAAAAACCCCAGGCGAGACCCAUCUUCUCUAAAAGUUCAAGGUGUCACUGAUGAGCUCGGCAAACUGUUGAUCCCGACCACGUGUAGCAGCCAGAGAAGCCGGUGAGAAUAAGGAAAGGGGCGGCAGCAUUGCAGAAAGGAGGCAGCAUGCUAAACAGCCUAUGCUCAUCAUUCACACAGUGUUCAGAUCUGCCUGAAUUUUGUCUGUUAGUGAAACAAAACAGAUCUGGGAUGAGGCAGGAAUGAAAGUCCUGGCCUUUUCGGGCUGUGACUAUCUGCAUCUUGUGUACCAGCUGAAAACAAAAUUCCAAUCAUUGUUUACAUUGUAAGGUCAUUGAUGAAACUGUCUUCCUUAUAAUAACUAGCUCUUUUAGAAUCAGGUCAGGCUACCUGGGGAGGUAGGAGGUUUUUUUUUUCAUGCUCUACUUCUAAUGUAGCUUUUUUAACCCUUUGUAUUUUUUUUAAAACUUCAGAUCACUCUUGUUUAUUAUUUUCUGGAAAAUACUGUUUCUCGGUUAAUGCCCGAAAUUCCCAUUCAUCUACUAUAAACAGAGGGAUCCUUUCACCAUUUAAAAUUAAGAUUUAAUGUCUUUUUGGCUUUAAACUACAAGGAUGUAGUGAGAUAGGUUGCACACUAUUUUUGAUUUACUUAAAUUCAUUUAAAAUUCAUAUUUACUGAUUGCAUCUGAGUUGAAAAUACCAGCCAUUUAUAGCAACCACAGGCUAAUAUGACUUGUGAGAAGCAUGUUAUCAUCUGAAUGGCAGGGGCACAUUAUCUAUUCUAAAUUAAUAUUUUAAUUGUGUAUAUAGAACUCUCCAAAAACCUGGAAUCUAGACUUGGUUUUAGAACCACCCCUGAAGUUUUCAAAUUGGCUUCACCUUAAUAGUAUUGUGGGGUGCAUAAUUAGAGCCCAGCUUGUACCUUUGAAACCAGCUGUACAACCUUGUUUGUUGAACUUUUUUUUUUUUUUCUGUCUAGAACGGGGGAUUGCAAGAUGCUUGUAUUCGAAUGUUUGAAGAAAAGCACCACGUUAUUGUAACUGAAUAAUCAUCUAAGAAGGAGUGCUGAUCACUUAUCGUGGGAACCAUCUGGUUUCUUCCUAUAGCGAUCAAGAGCUAGUCAUUGAACAAAGUAGAACAUGCAGCAUUUCACUCUGCUAUCAGGAAAAUACAUCGGACUCAACCUGAGGCCACUGAAAUGCUGAAUGCUGCAGGCACAGAAGAGAGAUAUUUAGCUUCAGAAUUCUGCCUUGAGAUUGCUGAGCUGUUCUGCUAUGGAAGAGCAUAUUCUCUGGUGACUCUUCUCCCGCCUCCCAGCUGCAAACCUUCUGGAAAUCAAAGGAGAUGCAGAGCACCGACAACACCAGAAACAGAUACUGUGUGGGCAGUGGCAACGCACAUUUUCCCCAUGCUACUCCAUCACUAUGUUUCAACCCUUGCCAGAGAGACCACCACUAGGAGGCGAGUGGCCCAGUUUUCAAGCCCAUUCAAUCUUCAGCCGCUCAGCUCAGAUUGCCGGUGAGGGUGAAAAUUGUGGUGAUGUUUUGUGGACAGCUGGACUGAAAUGACCAAAUUAAUUUCACAUGGGCUAUCUAACUGCCAUCACAUCAAAUGCUAUCCAUUGGCUAUCACUAAAGACUGAAAUCAAUAGGAGUCUUUUCACUGAUUUCAAUGGACUUUGAAUCAGACUGUAAGUUACAAACCAGGCUCCGACACUGCAAUACAUACUCAUUUGAGUAACUUUAAUUCCCUGAGACUACUUGCAUACAGAAAGGGCUCUAUGAGCUGUGGU